rnacentral:rRNA from 1 species
UAAUACAUGCAAGUCGAACGCGUCUCCGUUGAUGAUUUUAGGUGCUUGCACUUGAAAGAUUUAACAUUGAGACGAGUGGCGAACUGGUGAGUAACACGUGGGUAACCUGCCCUUGAAGUAGGGGAUAACACUUGGAAACAGGUGCUAAUACCGUAUAACAACCAAAACCACCUGGUUUUGGUUUAAAAGACGGCUUCGGCUGUCACUUUAGGAUGGACCCGCGGCGUAUUAGCUUGUUGGUAAGGUAACGGCCUACCAAGGCGAUGAUACGUAGCCGACCUGAGAGGGUAAUCGGCCACAUUGGGACUGAGACACGGCCCAAACUCCUACGGGAGGCAGCAGUAGGGAAUCUUCCACAAUGGACGAAAGUCUGAUGGAGCAACGCCGCGUGAGUGAUGAAGGGUUUCGGCUCGUAAAACUCUGUUGUUGGAGAAGAACAGGUGUCAGAGUAACUGUUGACAUCUUGACGGUAUCCAACCAGAAAGCCACGGCUAACUACGUGCCAGCAGCCGCGGUAAUACGUAGGUGGCAAGCGUUGUCCGGAUUUAUUGGGCGUAAAGCGAGCGCAGGCGGUUUUUUAGGUCUGAUGUGAAAGCCUUCGGCUUAACCGGAGAAGUGCAUCGGAAACCGGGAGACUUGAGUGCAGAAGAGGACAGUGGAACUCCAUGUGUAGCGGUGAAAUGCGUAGAUAUAUGGAAGAACACCAGUGGCGAAGGCGGCUGUCUGGUCUGUAACUGACGCUGAG